GACGAACGCUGGCGGCGUGCUUAACACAUGCCAGUCGAACGGAAAGGCCCUUCGGGGUACUCGAGUGGCGAACGGGUGAGUAACACGUGGGUGAUCUGCCCUGCACUUUGGGAUAAGCCUGGGAAACUGGGUCUAAUACCGAAUAGGACCACGCGCUUCAUGGUGUGUGGUGGAAAGCUUUUGCGGUGUGGGAUGGGCCCGCGGCCUAUCAGCUUGUUGGUGGGGUAAUGGCCUACCAAGGCGACGACGGGUAGCCGGCCUGAGAGGGUGACCGGCCACACGGGGACGGGGAUACGGCCCAGACUCCUACGGGAGGCAGCAGUGGGGAAUAUUGCACAAUGGGCGCAAGCCUGAUGCAGCGACGCCGCGUGGGGGAUGACGGCCUUCGGGUGGUAAACCUCUUUCACCAGGGACGAAGCGUAAGUGACGGUACCUGGAGAAGAAGCACCGGCCAACUACGU
rnacentral:rRNA from 1 species